ACGCUGGCGGCAUGCCUCAUACAUGCAAGUCGAACGAGGUCUUCGGACCUAGUGGCGCACGGGUGAGUAACAUGUGGGAAUCUACCUGAAGGUUCGGAAUAACUGCGGGAAACUGUAGCUAAUACCGGAUGUGUCUGAAAAGAGAAAGAUUUAUCGCCUUCAGAUGAGCCCGCACUAGAUUAGCUAGUUGGUGAGGUAAUUGCUCCACCAAGGCUCCGAUCUAUAGCUGAUUUGAGAGGAUGAUCAGCCACACUGGGACUGAGACACGGCCCAGACUCCUACGGGAGGCAGCAGUAGGGAAUAUUGGACAAUGGGGGAAACCCUGAUCCAGCAAUGCCGCGUGAGUGAAGAAGGCCUUCGGGUUGUAAAGCUCUUUCAUCAAUGAUGAUAAUGACAUUAGUUGAAGAAGAAGCCCCGGCUAACUUCGUGCCAGCAGCCGCGGUAAUACGAAGGGGGCUAGCGUUGUUCGGAAUCACUGGGCGUAAAGCGUAUGUAGGCGGAUCAAAAAGUUAGAUGUGAAAUCCCUGGGCUCAACCCAGGAACUGCAUUUAAAACUAGUGAUCUAGAAUUUGGUAGGGGUUAGUAGAAUUUCCAGUGUAGAGGUGAAAUUCGUAGAUAUUGGAAAGAAUACCAGUGGCGAAGGCGACUGACUGGGCCAUUUUUGACGCUGAGAUACGAAAGCGUGGGUAGCAAACAGGAUUAGAUACCCUGGUAGUCCACGCAGUAAACGAUGAGUGCUAGUCGCUGGGACAGUAGUUUCAGUGUCGAAGCUAACGCAUUAAGCACUCCGCCU
rnacentral:rRNA from 1 species